rnacentral:rRNA from 1 species
UACGAAGGGGGGCUAGCGUUGCUCGGAAUCACUGGGCGUAAAGGGUGCGUAGGCGGGUUUUUAAGUCAGGGGUGAAAUCCUGGAGCUCAACUCCAGAACUGCCUUGAUACUGAAGAUCUUGAGUCCGGGAGAGGUGAGUGGAACUGCGAGUGUAGAGGUGAAAUUCGUAGAUAUUCGCAAGAACACCAGUGGCGAAGGCGGGUCUCUGGACAGUUCCUGACGCUGAGGCACGAAGGCCAGGGGAGCAAACGGGG